CUUCUUCAACGAACUAAUAUGCAAGAGGCCAAAGAAGUUAGUAUCCCACUAUCUAUUUCAGAAACAUUCAAGCUUGAUGAUAGCUCACUUGAACAUGAUCCAACUGAAUAUCGUCAAAUGCUUGGCUCGCUUAUCUUUCUCUUACACAGCCUGAUGUUAGCUAUGCCGUUAACAAGUUGGCUCAGUUCAUGCAAAAACCAACCUCUAAUCAUUGGCUCACUGUUGAACGAGUUCUUCGCUAUCUCAAAGAAACCCUUCAUUAUGGUAUCUUCAUUUCCGCUCAAUCACUUCUUGUGCUUCAUGCCUUUGUCGAUGCCAACUGGGUUGGUGAUGUUGAUACACGUCACUCUUAGCUCCAAUCCUAUUAGUUGGAUCUCUAAGAAAUAAUCUACUAUAGCUUGCUGUUCAACCGAGGCCGAAUAUCGUGCCAUUGCUGCUGCUGCUGCUGAGGUGAAUUGGUUCACUAACUUGCUACGAGAAUUAGCUGUAUCAAUCCCAGCUCCAACAAUUUAUUGUGACAAUGUUAGUGCUACUUAUGCUCCAUCCCUGUUUUUCAUUCACACAUGAAACACAUUGUCAUUGACUUUCAUUUUGUACGUGAUCAAGUUUCUCGCAAGUUAUUUCACAUGUCCAUACUACAGACCAACUUGCUGACUCUCUUACUAAACCUCUAGCUCGGAAGCAGUUCCAAACUCAUCGGUCCAAGCUUAAUGUCCUUCCCGGACCGUUAAGCUCGCAAGAGGAUGAUAGAGCUCAAAAUUAGCAAAGUAUUUUAUUCUUUCUCUAAUUGUAAUCCUAUAAUAAUUCUCUCCUUAUUUAGCCAAUUUUGUUUCCUACUGUAUAGACAAGAUUGGUGGACUGACUCUACUAGAUUAAUGGGACUGAUUUCUCUUCCUGGUAUAUAUACUCGUAAUCAUCCCUGUCACUACAUAUUGGAAUAUUCAACCUCUUUAAUCGGGGACCUCUAGAAAAGACAGUAAUUAAGAUUUUGGGGGGAAUCUUCACACUGUUAUAGUGUUUUUCUAGGGUAUAGAAAAGACCUGGAUCUUUGUGUGUCCACCAGUUGUAUGGUGUAUUCAUCACAAAUUUUGCUUGUGGAAGUAGUCUUCGUUAAGUAUGAGCCAAAACACCUUUACAUUUGUGCCUUUUUUUUAGUUGGUUUUGUAUAUUUCCUCUUUUAUUCUCUUGUAUUCUGCUGCGUGAAUAGAUCGCUUUGGGUUGAUUAUGAUAGUUGUUAACCUUAGGCAUUCUGCUUAUUUAAUUUGUAAUUUUUUUCUGUUCAUAUUUUUCAAGAUUAAGAAAGAUUACUUGUUAUUUUUACUUCUGUAAUCCAAUGCUGAUAUGCUGCCUCGUGGUUCAAACUUCUAUCUUCUCGUGCUAAUUCAGUAAAAGAUUCCCAGCAAUCAGUAGCUUUUGGGAACUUAAAUGGAGACGUUGAUGAAGAAUGGUUACACAUUUCGCAAAUGAAUACGAGGUAAUUUCAUAAUGUGAUGGAUGCUGGAUGUAUCUUUUCUUAUGCUAUAAUGCUCAUUCAAUCAAUAGUUGAUUGAAAUCUUUUCAGUUAAGCAUUUUAGCCGAGGAAAAUCUGGAUUCGGGAUUAUUGUGCUUUUAGAAUUGCAAGGUAGAUUGUCGAAACAAG
rnacentral:lncRNA from 1 species